AAAUAUAAAGAAAAAUAUUUUUAAUUAACCGCACAAUAAACGUCCAACAAAAAACGUGUCUAACAAAUACUUGAGUAAAGCAAUUAACAGUAGGUAGAUUGCAUGUGAAAUAUAAAAUAUCACAGAGAACUCUACCUUGGGACACUUCUGCACUGAUUUUGGUGGCAAAAGGAACUGAACAUUUUCUGCAGAACAAUGCCGUUCAAAGUAAUUGUACGUAACACAUUAUGGUUCAUCUGGGUAAUCGCGAAGAAAACAGUGUAUUAUGGUUGGACCCCACUAUUUUACUAUUUGGCAUACAGAAAGUAUAAUGGACAUCCUCCACCUGCCUGUUUGGAAGUUUUUGUGCCUAAACUUUCCCUAAGUUAAUGGAUGUUAUACUAUUUAGCGAUAGGAUGCAUCACAUUAAGUAUUUGUUAAGGAAUUUGAAGCGUUUACGUCAACGGUGCAAUACAACUACAUAUAUUAAUUGGCGAUUUUACAUGGAAUGUAUUUAUGUAUAUAAAAUACUAUUUUUGUAAAUAAAUACGCACAAAAAUAUU